AGUGACCGCGUUGGCAAGACGCUGAAGUUGGGAUCGAUGCAGAGAAGAUUAGCAUGGCCCCAGUGCAAGGCUGACACGCAAAUUCAUGGAGCAGUCCAUUUUUUU